rnacentral:rRNA from 1 species
ACAGCUCAAAUUUGAAAUCUGGCUCUUUCAGGGUCCGAGUUGUAAUUUGUAGAAGAUGUUUCGAGUGUGGCUCCGGUCUAAGUUCCUUGGAACAGGACGUCAUAGAGGGUGAGAAUCCCGUAUGUGACUGGUUGCCUUCGCUCAUGUGAAACUCUUUCGACGAGUCGAGUUGUUUGGGAAUGCAGCUCAAAAUGGGUGGUAAAUUUCAUCUAAAGCUAAAUAUUGGCCAGAGACCGAUAGCGCACAAGUAGAGUGAUCGAAAGAUGAAAAGCACUUUGGAAAGAGAGUUAAACAGUACGUGAAAUUGUUGAAAGGGAAGCGCUUGCAACCAGACUUGCGCGUAGUUGAUCAUCCGGGGUUCUCCCCGGUGCACUCGAUUACGCUCAGGCCAGCAUCGGUUUGGGUGGUUGGAUAAAGGCCUUGGGAAUGUGGCUUCCUUCGGGGAGUGUUAUAGCCCUCGGUGCAAUGCAGCCUAUCCGGACCGAGGACCGCGCUUCGGCUAGGAUGCUGGCGUAAUGGUUGUAAGCGACCCGUCUUGAAACACG